rnacentral:rRNA from 1 species
CUACGUGCCAGCAGCCGCGGUAAUACGUAGGUGGCAAGCGUUGUCCGGAAUUAUUGGGCGUAAAGCGCGCGCAGGCGGAUUGGUCAGUCUGUCUUAAAGGUUCGGGGCUUAACCCCGUGAUGGGAUGGAAACUGCCAAUCUAGAGUAUCGGAGAGGAAAGUGGAAUUCCUAGUGUAGCGGUGAAAUGCGUAGAUAUUAGGAAGAACACCAGUGGCGAAGGCGACUUUCUGGACGAAAACUGACGCUGAGGCGCGAAAGCCAGGGGAGCGAACGGGAUUAGAUACCCCGGUAGUCCUGGCCGUAAACGAUGGGUACUAGGUGUAGGAGGUAUCGACCCCUUCUGUGCCGGAGUUAACGCAAUAAGUACCCCGCCUGGGGAGUACGACCGCAAGGUUGAAACUCAAAGGAAUUGACGGGGGCCCGCACAAGCGGUGGAGUAUGUGGUUUAAUUCGACGCAACGCGAAGAACCUUACCAGGUCUUGACAUUGAUGGACAGAACUAGAGAUAG